rnacentral:rRNA from 1 species
GACGAACGCUGGCGGCGUGCUUAACACAUGCAAGUCGAACGGAAAGGCCCGGCUUUUGUGUGGUGCUCGAGUGGCGAAGGGGUGAGUAACACGUGAGUAACCUGCCCUUGACAUUGGGGUAUCUUCAGGAAACUGGGGCUCAUACCGGAUAGGAUCUUCUGCUGCAUGGUGGGGGUUGGAAAGUUUCGGCGGUUGGGGAUGGACUCGCGGCUUAUCAGCUUGUUGGUGGGGUAGUGGCUUACCAAGGCUUUGACGGGUAGCCGGCCUGAGAGGGUGACCGGCCACAUUGGGCCUGGGAUACGGCACAGACUCGAACGGGAGGCAGCGGUGGAGAAUAUUGCAUAAUGGGCGGAAGGCUGAUGCAGUCACGCCGCGUGCGGGAAGACGGGAUUCGGGUUGUAAACAGAUGUCGCCUGAGCCGAGGCGAGAGUGACGGUACUGGGUAAAGAAGCACCGGCUAACUACGUG